rnacentral:rRNA from 1 species
AUUGAACGCUGGCGGCAGGCUUAACACAUGCAAGUCGAGCGGUAACAUUUCUAGCUUGCUAGAAGAUGACGAGCGGCGGACGGGUGAGUAAUGCUUGGGAAUAUGCCUUGAAGUGGGGGACAACAGUUGGAAACGACUGCUAAUACCGCAUAAUGUCUACGGACCAAAGGGGGGGAUCUUCGGACCUCUCGCUUCUAGAUUAGCCCAAGUGAGAUUAGCUAGUUGGUAGGGUAAAGGCCUACCAAGGCGACGAUCUCUAGCUGGUUUGAGAGGAUGAUCAGCCACACUGGGACUGAGACACGGCCCAGACUCCUACGGGAGGCAGCAGUGGGGAAUAUUGCACAAUGGGGGAAACCCUGAUGCAGCCAUGCCGCGUGUGUGAAGAAGGCCUUCGGGUUGUAAAGCACUUUCAGUUGUGAGGAAAGGUUAAAUUUUAAUAGAGUUUAACUGUGACGUUAACAACAGAAGAAGCACCGGCUAACUUCGUGCCAGCAGCCGCGGUAAUACGAGGGGUGCAAGCGUUAAUCGGAAUUACUGGGCGUAAAGCGUUCGUAGGCGGUUAUUUAAGCAAGAUGUGAAAGCCCAGGGCUCAACCUUGGAACUGCAUUUUGAACUGGGUAACUAGAGUACUGUAGAGGGUGGUGGAAUUUCCAGUGUAGCGGUGAAAUGCGUAGAGAUUGGAAGGAACAUCAGUGGCGAAAGCGGCCACCUGGACAGAUACUGACGCUGAGGAACGAAAGCGUGGGGAGCGAACAGGAUUAGAUACCCUGGUAGUCCACGCCGUAAACGAUGUCAACUAGCCGUUUGUGUCCUUGAGACGUGAGUGGCGCAGCUAACGCACUAAGUUGAC